AUUGAACGCUGGCGGAAUGCUUUACACAUGCAAGUCGAACGGCAGCACGGGGGCAACCCUGGUGGCGAGUGGCGAACGGGUGAGUAAUAUAUCGGAACGUGCCCAGUCGUGGGGGAUAACGUAGCGAAAGUUACGCUAAUACCGCAUACGAUCUACGGAUGAAAGCGGGGGAUCGCAAGACCUCGCGCGAUUGGAGCGGCCGAUAUCAGAUUAGGUAGUUGGUGGGGUAAAGGCUCACCAAGCCAACGAUCUGUAGCUGGUCUGAGAGGACGACCAGCCACACUGGGACUGAGACACGGCCCAGACUCCUACGGGAGGCAGCAGUGGGGAAUUUUGGACAAUGGACGCAAGUCUGAUCCAGCCAUUCCGCGUGCAGGACGAAGGCCUUCGGGUUGUAAACUGCUUUUGUACGGAACGAAAAAGCUCUUACUAAUACUAGGAGUCCAUGACGGUACCGUAAGAAUAAGCACCGGCUAACUACGUGCCAGCAGCCGCGGUAAUACGUAGGGUGCGAGCGUUAAUCGGAAUUACUGGGCGUAAAGCGUGCGCAGGCGGUUAUAUAAGACAGAUGUGAAAUCCCCGGGCUCAACCUGGGAACUGCAUUUGUGACUGUAUAGCUAGAGUGCGGCAGAGGGGGAUGGAAUUCCGCGUGUAGCAGUGAAAUGCGUAGAUAUGCGGAGGAACACCGAUGGCGAAGGCAAU
rnacentral:rRNA from 1 species